CUUGUCUUCAAGAUUAAGCCAUGCAUGUGUAAGCACAAGCCAUUUAAAUGGUGAAGCCGCGAAUGGCUCAUUACAACAGCCAUAUUUUAUUGGAUCUUGACAGUUACUUGGAUAACUGCGGUAAUUCUGGAGCUAAUACAUGCAUUUAAACCCCGACCUCACGGAAAGGGUGCAUUUAUUAGAACAAAACCAAUCGAGCUUCGGCUCGCUCUUUGGUGACUCUGAAUAACUUUGCUGAUCGCACGGUCUCGAACCGGCGACGUAUCUUUCAAAUGUCUGCCUUAUCAACUGUCGAUGGUAGUUUAUGCGCCUACCAUGGUUGUAACGGGUAACGGAGAAUCAGGGUUUGACUCCGGAGAGGGAGCCUGAGAAACGGCUACCACUUCCAAGGAAG
rnacentral:rRNA from 1 species